UACGUAGGGAGCAAGCGUUGUCCGGAAUCAUUGGGCGUAAAGCGCGCGUAGGUGGCUUCGUAAGUCCGUUGUGAAAGUCAAAGGCUCAACCUUUGAAAGCCGAUGGAUACUGCGGAGCUAGAGUACGGAAGAGGCGAGUGGAAUUCCUGGUGUAGCGGUGGAAUGCGCAGAUAUCAGGAGGAACACCAAUAGCGAAGGCAGCUCGCUGGGACGGUACUGACGCUGAGACGCGAAAGCGUGGGGAGCGAACAGG
rnacentral:rRNA from 1 species